CCUACGGGUGGCAGCAGUGAGGAAUAUUGGUCAAUGGACGAGAGUCUGAACCAGCCAAGUAGCGUGAAGGAUGACUGCCCUAUGGGUUGUAAACUUCUUUUAUAUGGGAAUAAAAUGUUCCACGUGUGGGAUUUUGUAUGUACCAUAUGAAUAAGGAUCGGCUAACUCCGUGCCAGCAGCCGCGGUAAUACGGAGGAUCCGAGCGUUAUCCGGAUUUAUUGGGUUUAAAGGGAGCGUAGGUGGAUUGUUAAGUCAGUUGUGAAAGUUUGCGGCUCAACCGUAAAAUUGCAGUUGAGACUGGCAGUCUUGAGUACAGUAGAGGUAGGCGGAAUUCGUGGUGUAGCGGUGAAAUGCUUAGAUAUCACGAAGAACUCCGAUUGCGAAGGCAGUUCACUAAACUGCCACUGACACUGAGGCUCGAAAGUGUGGGUAUCAAACAGGAUUAGAUACCCUAGUAGUC
rnacentral:rRNA from 1 species